rnacentral:rRNA from 1 species
AUUGAACGCUGGCGGCAGGCCUAACACAUGCAAGUCGAACGAGGCGCGGGGGUGUGAGUAGUGUCUGGGAAACUUCCUGGUGGAGGGGGAUAUCUACUAGAAGCGGUAGCUAAUACCACAUACCCUCAUAUGUGCACAGAUGGGAUUAGCUAGUUGGAGGGGUAACGGCUCACCAAGGCGACGAUCCCUAGCUGGUCUGAGAGGAUGACCAGCCACACUGGAACUGAGACACGGUCCAGACUCCUACGGGAGGCAGCAGUGGGGAAUAUUGCACAAUGGGCGCAAGCCUGAUGCAGUCAUGCCGCGUGUAUGAAGAAGGCCUUCGGGUUGUAAAGUACUUUCAGCGGGGAGGCGUUACCCGCAGAAGAAGCACCGGCUAACUCCGUGCCAGCAGCCGCGGUAAUUC